AUCGCUUCUCGGCCUUUUGGCUAAGAUCAAAGUGUAGUAUCUGUUCUUAUCAGCUUAAUAUCUGAUACGGGUCCUAUUUGGACCAAGAUAUUAAUCUUAUUUUUGGAAUGCGGCGUAGUGCUUGAGGUUUACCUCACCUAUGCCACGGGUUGGCCCGGUAUUGCACUGCCUCCGGGAUCGGCCCACCCCCC
rnacentral:snRNA from 1 species